AUUGAACGCUGGCGGCAGGCCUAACACAUGCAAGUCGAGCGGAUGAGAGGAGCUUGCUUCUCGAUUCAGCGGCGGACGGGUGAGUAAUGCCUAGGAAUCUGCCUGGUAGUGGGGGACAACGUUUCGAAAGGAACGCUAAUACCGCAUACGUCCUACGGGAGAAAGCAGGGGACCUUCGGGCCUUGCGCUAUCAGAUGAGCCUAGGUCGGUUUAGCUAGUUGGUGAGGUAAUGGCGCACCAAGGCGACGAUCCGUAACUGGUCGGAGAGGAUGAUCAGUCACACUGGAACUUGGACACGGUCCAGAAUCCUACGGGAGGCAGCAGUGGGGAAUAUUGGACAAGGGGCGAAAGCCUGAUCCAGCCAUGCCGCGUGUGUGAAGAAGGUCUUCGGAUUGUAAAGCACUUUAAGUUGGGAGGAAGGGUUGUAGAUUAAUACUCUGCAAUUUUGACGUUACCGACAGAAUAAGCACCGGCUAACUCUGUGCCAGCCGCCGCCGUAACAC
rnacentral:rRNA from 1 species